rnacentral:rRNA from 1 species
AGUGAACGCUGGCGGUAGGCCUAACACAUGCAAGUCGAACGGCAGCACAGUAAGAGCUUGCUCUUACGGGUGGCGAGUGGCGGACGGGUGAGGAAUACAUCGGAAUCUACUUUUUCGUGGGUGAUAACGUAGGGAAACUUACGCUAAUACCGCAUACGACCUACGGGUGAAAGCAGGGGAUCUUCGGACCUUGCGCGAUUGAAUGAGCCGAUGUCGGAUUAGCUAGUUGGCGGGGUAAAGGCCCACCAAGGCGACGAUCCGUAGCUGGUCUGAGAGGAUGAUCAGCCACACUGGAACUGAGACACGGUCCAGACUCCUACGGGAGGCAGCAGUGGGGAAUAUUGGACAAUGGGCGCAAGCCUGAUCCAGCCAUACCGCGUGAGUGAAGAAGGCCUUCGGGUUGUAAAGCCCUUUUGUUGGGAAAGAAAAGCAGCAGGUUAAUACCCCGCUGUUCUGACGGUACCCAAAGAAUAAGCACCGGCUAACUUCGUG